rnacentral:rRNA from 1 species
UGAGGAAUAUUGCACAAUGGGCGCAAGCCUGAUGCAGCAACGCCGCGUGCGGGACGAAGGCCUUCGGGUCGUAAACCGCUUUUCUGGGGAAAGAGCAAGGACGGUACCUCAGGAAUAAGUCUCGGCUAACUACGUGCCAGCAGCCGCGGUAAAACGUAGGAGGCGAGCGUUAUCCGGAUUUACUGGGCGUAAAGCGCACGCAGGCGGCUCUGUGAGUCGGACGUGAAAGCUCCCGGCUUAACCGGGAGAGGCCGUUCGAUACUGCGGAGCUUGAGGUAGGGAGAGGAAUGCGGAAUUCCCGGUGUAGUGGUAGAAUGCGUAGAUAUCGGGAGGAACACCUGUGGCGAAGGCGGCAUCCUGGCCCUCACCUGACGCUGAGGUGCGAAAGCGUGGGUAGCAAACAG